GACCUCGUAGCUCAGCUGGUAGAGCAUAACACUUUUAAUGUUAGGGCCCUGGGUUCGAGUCCCAGCGGGGUCA
rnacentral:tRNA from 1 species